UACCAGCUCUCCGAGUGGUGUGGAUGUUUAUUGGGCCUAAAGCAUCCGUAGCUGGCUGGGCUAGUCCCCUGUUAAAUCCACCGAUUUAAUCGUUGGUGUGCGGGGGAUACUGUUCGGCUAGGGGACGGGAGAGGCCGACGGUAUUUUCGGGGUAGGGGUGAAAUCCUAUAAUCCCGGGAAGACCACCAGUGGCGAAGGCUGUCGGCUAGAACGCGCCCGACGGUGAGGGAUGAAAGCUGGGGGAGCGAACCGGAUUAGAUACCCGGGUAGUCCCAGCUGUAAACGAUGCAGGCUAGGUGUUUGGGCGGCCACGUGCCGCUCUAGUGCCGCAGAGAAGUCGUUAAGCCUGCCGCCUGGGGAGUACGGCCGCAAGGCUGAAACUUAAAGGAAUUGGCGGGGAGCACCACAAGGGGUGAAGCUUGCGGUUU
rnacentral:rRNA from 1 species